CCCGCCCGUGACUGGCUCAGGGCUUGUAAUUUGUCCACGUAGAGGCUAUAAUAAGACAUUGAUCCAUGCAUGGACGCUUUUCCCGGAUAUCAUCGUCUGUUCAAUCCAGAUUCUAUUCCCCUCGGCUCAACCGAUCAGUCACGGGGAAAAUUGUUCAAUGUGGAGGACGAGGACAAAGAACGCUUGUCUAUUAAAGAUACAACUCAAGUAACCAAAAAGCUGUAGUGGAAAUAAUGGGUAGCAUUGAAACUUGGAUUCUGACGACUUGAUCUCGACACCUUCCAAGAAAAUUAAAAAAAAAAAAAAAAAAAAAAAAAAUUUAAACAAAAUAUUAGCAAAAACAUAAUUGAAUGUCCCUGAAACUUAGCGCUCUCCAAUGGUCGUUCUCCAUCUCAUGACCAAAAACAUCCCCUAAAUUUGCACUGCGAAACAUCGAGCCAACGACUAAAAUACAAAAAGUCAGUCCGGAAUAUCCUUCCCCAUGCCAUCAUAUGAUGAUGAUCCAGGGAUCUUUGUCUUGCACGGCUUCCCACUGCAAACGGUGGAAAUGGAGGGUUUAAACACGCCGAAAGUUAACCAACCACCUUUGGACCCCAAGCCGAGAACGUAAAUUCUAGUUCUUUGCCAAAACGUGAUCAAUAAAAUUCUUUCUCACUUAUUGGGUAUCUGGUGGGAGACACCUUUCGUCUCCUGGCACUCCGGGUCGAACUGACGAUUGCCCGACCUUUCCAUAAAUAUGAGGACUGAUGAAAUUUAAAAUCCAAUCUCUAACUCUGCGCACCUUCACUAGUUGUGGGUGACAAUCGGUCGUUCCGUCAGCAAGGGCCUGGAGAGUGAACAGACCCCCAUCAUCGUCAGGGCCAACGAGCGCACGAUGCAGAAGGUCAACUUUCGUCAUGUUACCCUUCAAAGUCUGGCCAUAAACCUUACCCCGAAAGCUGUUUAGCGCCACAGACCGGAAAAGAACGAUAUCUCGUGGACGCAACCCUAGUAUCGACCCAUAGAGAUCUUCCUUCGCGCCAUCUCGCGGUUCACCCUUGAGCGGCAACCAACAAGUGAUCUGAAAUCCCGACCUCGUUUCAUCACCCACCACAAACUCGACAACCUCGGUCUCAUAACCCCAACGAGUUCGUACUCGUUUGCGAGGGUAUAUUGUGAUUAUCGCCACGAUCAGGUUGAUAGGGAUCAUCCGAGGGGAAAUCGAAUGGAGAUAAGCAGCGUUAGGGAUAUCUUCUAGAUUACUCAAAUUUCCUGUUAAAGGUGGUGGCAGAGGAUGCUGAGGGCUGUUAUGAUACUCCGUCAAGUGGUCCGCCCUACUGACUAUACUGGUAUCGUCCAAUGUAGUCUCGAAGUUGGAUUCUGCGUAAAAUGAUUCCAUCCCGCUCGGUAUACUAGAAUCCCCUCCUCCUUCAUGCAGGGCAAAGGAAUGGUCGUAGAAUUCCGACCCAGUUUCCACCUGAGUAUCCAUUGUUGCCUGUAAACCAGUGUGCGCCUCAAUCGCACCACCCAGUGCAAAAAACUCCGUAUCUCCAUCAUUCAUAUUAUCAUCAUCAUGAAUCUUGUCAACUUUGUCAUGCUCUCCUGGGAAGCC
rnacentral:sRNA from 1 species